rnacentral:lncRNA from 1 species
AAAAACAAAAAGAAGGUCAUCAAAUCCUCAACAAAAACAAAAUAAGGUGACUGCCACUUCAAAAGAAAAUCAUCUUGAAUCUUCAUCUUCACCAUUCCUCCUUCGAACACUCUUGGAAGUUGAAUGCGUGUGUCAAUUUAACUGAACGUAGGAUUGUAGAUCAUCAUGAAGAAGGGGUGGGUUGAAAUUAAAUUUUGAGCCUUU